rnacentral:rRNA from 1 species
CAGUAGCCGCGGGAAUACGAGGGGGGCAAGCGUUGUUCGGAAUUAUUGAGCGUAAAGGGUGCGUAGGCGGUUUCGCAAGUCUUGUGUGAAAUCUAUGGGCUCAACCCGUAGUCUGCAUAGGAAACUGUCGGGCUUGAGAGUGGGAGAGGUGAGUGGAAUUUCCGGUGUAGCGGUGAAAUGCAUAGAGAUGUGGAGGAACACCAGUGGCGAAGGCGACUCUCUGGUCUGUAACUGACGCUGAGGAGCGAAAGCGUGGGGAGCGAACAGGAUUAGAUACCCCUGUAGUCCCUGUCUCUUAUAA